AUUACGUGUCCCAAAUAGGACGAAACGCGCGUUCUGGAU
rnacentral:hammerhead_ribozyme from 1 species